rnacentral:rRNA from 1 species
GACGAACGCUGGCGGCGUGCUUAACACAUGCAAGUCGAACGAUGAAGCCUAGCUUGCUAGGUGGAUUAGUGGCGAACGGGUGAGUAAUACGUGAGUGACCUACCUUUGACUCUGGGAUAAGCCUGGGAAACUGGGUCUAAUACCGGAUACGACCAAUCUCUGCAUGGGGUGUUGGUGGAAAGCGUUAUGGAGUGGUUUUAGAUGGGCUCACGGCCUAUCAGCUUGUUGGUGAGGUAAUGGCUUACCAAGGCGACGACGGGUAGCCGUCCUGAGAGGGUGACCGGCCACACUGGGACUGAGACACGGCCCAGACUCCUACGGGAGGCAGCAGUGGGGAAUAUUGCACAAUGGGCGCAAGCCUGAUGCAGCGACGCCGCGUGAGGGAUGACGGCCUUCGGGUUGUAAACCUCUGUUAGCAUCGAAGAAGCGAAAGUGACGGUAGG